rnacentral:rRNA from 1 species
CGGUUAAAAAGCUCGUAGUUGGAUUUCUGUCGGUGAGGUUCAGUCCGCCCAAGCGGUAGGUACGUGAUCCGCCACCGGCAUCUUCCUGGGGAAUGUGUCUGCUCUUUAUUGAGUGGUACAUAAGCCAGGACUUUUACUUUGAAGAAAUGAGAGUGUUUCAAGCAGGCAUGCGCCGUGAAUACGUUAGCAUGGGAUAAUAGCAUCGGACCUCGUUCCAAAGCUGUUGGUUUCUUGGACCGAGGUAAAGGUGAAUAGGGAUUGUUGGGGGCAUUCGUAUUUGACUGUCAGAGGUGAAAUUCUUGGAUUUGUUGAAGACGGACUACUGCGAAAGCAUCUGCCAAAGAUGUUCUCAUUGAUCAAGAACGAAAGUUAGGUGAUCGAAGACGAUCAGAUACCGUCCUAGUCUUAACCAUAAACUAUGCCGACUGGAGAUCGGGGGUCGUUAAUUAUGUGACGCCCUCUGCAUCUUGAGAGAAAUCAAAGUCUUUGGGUUCCGGGGGGAGUAUGGUCGCAAGGCUGAAACUUAAAGGAAUUGACGGAAGGGCACCACCAGGAGUGGAGCCUGCCGCUUAAUUUGACUC